rnacentral:rRNA from 1 species
GACGAACGCUGGCGGCGUGCUUAACACAUGCAAGUCGAACGGGAAGGCCCUGCUUUUGUGGGGUGCUCGAGUGGCGAACGGGUGGGUAACACGUGAGUAACCUGCCCUUGACUUUGGGAUAACUUCAGGAAACUGGGGCUAAUACCGGAUAGGAGCUCCUGCUGCAUGGUGGGGGUUGGAAAGUUUCGGCGGUUGGGGAUGGACUCGCGGCUUAUCAGCUUGUUGGUGGGGUAGUGGCUUACCAAGGCUUUGACGGGUAGCCGGCCUGAGAGGGUGACCGGCCACAUUGGGACUGAGAUACGGCCCAGACUCCUACGGGAGGCAGCAGUGGGGAAUAUUGCACAAUGGGCGGAAGCCUGAUGCAGCAACGCCGCGUGCGGGAUGACGGCCUUCGGGUUGUAAACCGCUUCCGCCUGUGACGAAGCGUGAGUGACGGUAAUGGGUAAAGAAGCACCGGCUAACUACGUGCCAGCAGCCGCGGUGAUACGUAGGGUGCGAGCGUUGUCCGGAUUUAUUGGGCGUAAAGGGCUCGUAGGUGGUUGAUCGCGUCGGAAGUGUAAUCUUGGGGCUUAACCCUGAGCGUGCUUUCGAUACGGGUUGACUUGAGGAAGGUAGGGGAGAAUGGAAUUCCUGGUGGAGCGGUGGAAUGCGCAGAUAUCAGGAGGAACACCAGUGGCGAAGGCGGUUCUCUGGGCCUUUCCUGACGCUGAGGAGCGAAAGCGUGGGGAGCGAACAGGCUUAGAUACCCUGGUAGUCCACGCUGUAAACGGUGGGUACUAGGUGUGGGGUCCAUUCCACGGGUUCCGUGCCGUAGCUAACGCUUUAAGUACCCCGCCUGGGGAGUACGGCCGCAAGGCUAAAACUCAAAGGAAUUGACGGGGCCCCGCACAAGCGGCGGAGCAUGCGGAUUAAUUCGAUGCAACGCGUAGAACCUUACCUGGGUUUGACAUGGAUCGGGAGUGCUCAGAGAUGGGUGUGCCUCUUUUGGGGUCGGUUCACAGGUGGUGCAUGGCUGUCGUCAGCUCGUGUCGUGAGAUGUUGGGUUAAGUCCCGCAACGAGCGCAACCCUUGUUCACUGUUGCCAGCACGUUAUGGUGGGGACUCAGUGGAGACCGCCGGGGUCAACUCGGAGGAAGGUGGGGAUGACGUCAAGUCAUCAUGCCCCUUAUGUCCAGGGCUUCACGCAUGCUACAAUGGCUGGUACAGAGAGUGGCGAGCCUGUGAGGGUGAGCGAAUCUCGGAAAGCCGGUCUCAGUUCGGAUUGGGGUCUGCAACUCGACCUCAUGAAGUCGGAGUCGCUAGUAAUCGCAGAUCAGCAACGCUGCGGUGAAUACGUUCCCGGG